rnacentral:tRNA from 1 species
GGCGGCCCUGGCUCGGCGCGAUGCCUUGCUCAAGGCAUGGCCAAGCGAUAUUCCCGGCGUCGGUGCGAUGCCGGUGGUUGCUGC